rnacentral:lncRNA from 1 species
CAAUAACAAACAAAUACAUUUAUUUUUCAGAGAUUCUGAACUUCAGAAACUUAAAAACACUCUCAAAAAUCCAAAGUCUUAUGAACACAAGAUGAAUUCACAGAUGAGCAGAUAAUGGGCUAAAACACACUCUCCUAAUUGGGAAAUCUAUUCAAUAUUCUGUAAUAACCUACGUGGGAAAAAAAGAAUGGAUGUGUGUGUGUAUAUAUAUAUAGAGAGAGAUAUCUAUAUAUAUAUAUAGAGAGAGAGAUAUCUCUCUCUAUAUAUAUAUACCUGAUUCACUUUGCUGUACAUAUGAAACUAACACAACAUUGUAACUCAACUAUAUUCCAAUAAAAUUUAAGCCGUUUCUUUCCAGUGGUAUAUUUGUGAAAAACACGCUUCCAGGUGGAGACACCUAAAGUAGUUUGCCAAAAUGGACCAUCUUUUGAACGCUUGUUCUGUAUUUGGUCUAAAUUUAGAUUCAAUAUCCAUCUCAGCAAGGAUUUCACACUCGAAUAACGGAACUGAUUACUGCCUGUACUCCUCAAUACAUGGAUAAGUCUCGAUUCCUACAGGCCGAAACAUCAGGGAAGGUUUUCUCUGGUUCUACCCUUUACUUCUUAUUGAAGAGGGGUUUGGUGUAGACAGUGUGUGGAUACUCAUGGGCCAAGUGAUCAGAAUUCUCUCUAGACUGUAUUUGAAGCUGCAUCCCAGAGCACAAGAGCGCAGGUCUAUUUCCAUUUAAGUGCAAAAACAAUUCCCAAAGCCCCAAAUGGUAUAAAUCUUACUGAUACUCAUUUUCACGAAUCCACUCCUGUCCGUUGCUCUCUUAGGGGAAAGAAAAAGGCCAUAAGGGCGUUCCUUAUUGUUAAUCAUUGUCUCUGAAAUUCUCGCAUGCAUAAAGAACAGAACAGUACCUGCCUUCCCGGGAACAUGUUUAUCUCAGUGAAAGGGGAAAAAAAAAAUACCACAGUACAUUUCCAGUUUUUCUUGUAACCGGAGAACUUAAAGGAAACAUUCUCAACCGUUGUGAACCAAAGAGGAAGCGAUGUUGAGAAAUCACAGACUUUUGAGGCAUUAAGCAAUGACCUCCUAGAAAAAGAAAGAAAGACUCUCACCGGAGAGGGAAACUCGGGAAUUGAAAUGUAUCAGGCAAAGCAUCUUAGGGGGUAAAAGGAAAAAAGAAAAUCAAGUAGUUUACCAUGAGAUUGAAAGAAAAUCCUGAAUGAUGACAAAGAAAGAACAUCCAUUUCGGAUAAAGGAGGCACUAUGAGGCUUCAUAGUCAACGUACUUACUGAGCGCAAACAGAGAAGAAUAAAAAACCAAACCAAACAUAGUCCCACAGCCCCAGUUCCAGCCGCUGUCAUUGCUGUCACCUGCUAU